rnacentral:rRNA from 1 species
UACGUAGGGUGCAAGCGUUAAUCGGAAUUAUUGGGCGUAAAGCGCGUGUAGGCGGCUUGUUAAGUCGGUUGUGAAAACCCAUGGCUCAACCAUGGAAGGGCGUCCGAAACUGGCAAGCUAGAGUCCCGACGAGGAUGGCGGAAUUCCCAGUGUAGCAGUGAAAUGCGUAGAGAUGCGGAGGAACACCGAUGGCGAAGGCAGCCCCCUGGGCUAACACUGACGCUGAGGCACGAAAGCGUGGGGAGCAAACAGG